rnacentral:rRNA from 1 species
GAUGAACGCUAGCGGCAGGCUUAAUACAUGCAAGUCGAGGGGCAGCACGGUUAGCAAUAACUGGUGGCGACCGGCGCACGGGUGCGUAACACGUAUACAAUCUACCUUAAACAGGGGGAUAGCCUUUCGAAAGAGAGAUUAAUACCCCGUAAUAAAUUGAACGGCAUCGUUUGAUUUUGAAAGCUCCGGCGGUUUGAGAUGAGUAUGCGUCUGAUUAGCUAGUUGGUGAGGUAACGGCUCACCAAGGCGACGAUCAGCAGGGGAUCUGAGAGGACUAACCCCCACACUGGUACUGAGACACGGACCAGACUCCUACGGGAGGCAGCAGUAAGGAAUAUUGGUCAAUGGAGGCAACUCUGAACCAGCCAUGCCGCGUGCAGGAUGACGGCCCUAUGGGUUGUAAACUGCUUUUAUACAAGAGAAAACCCUGGUACGUGUACCAGGUUGAUAGUACUGUAAGAAUAAGCAUCGGCUAACUUCGUGCCAGCCGCCGCGGUAAAAC